rnacentral:rRNA from 1 species
GACGUAGGGCGCGAGCGUUGUCCGGAUUUAUUGGGCGUAAAGAGCUCGUAGGCGGCUUGGCAAGUCGGGUGUGAAACCUCCAGGCUCAACCUGGAGACGCCACUCGAUACUGCUAUGGCUAGAGUCCGGUAGGGGACCACGGAAUUCCUAGUGUAGCGGUGAAAUGCGCAGAUAUCAGGAGGAACACCGGUGGCGAAGGCGGUGGUCUGGGCCGGCACUGACGCUGAGGAGCGAAAGCGUGGGUAGCAAACAGG